CUUGGCAGGAGCCUCAGGGAGCCCCGCUGCAGAACCAGCAGUCUUUUGGACCUUGCUCUCUAGAGAUCAAGCAGUUUCUGGAGUGUGCUCAGAACCAGAGCGAUGUCAAGCUCUGUGAGGGCUUCAAUGAGGUGCUGCGGCAGUGCAGGAUUGCAAAUGGUUUAAUCUAAUCAAGAAAUUCAAGCUGGAGAAAUGUAAACUUGGUUCUGUAUAAUUGAUAGUCACACGUGUGGAUCCUUAUUGGCAUUUACUGAGGCUUGUAGUGUUGGUUACUGGGCAAGUGUUUGGCUUCCUUGAACUAACUGUAUUGUGAUUGAGUUAAAUAAAGUGUGUUAUUCUCAAGUG
rnacentral:lncRNA from 1 species